UACGUAGGGCGCAAGCGUUGUCCGGAAUUAUUGGGCGUAAAGAGCUCGUAGGCGGCUUGUCACGUCGGGUGUGAAAGCCCGGGGCUUAACCCCGGGUCUGCAUUCGAUACGGGCAGGCUAGAGUGUGGUAGGGGAGAUCGGAAUUCCUGGUGUAGCGGUGAAAUGCGCAGAUAUCAGGAGGAACACCGGUGGCGAAGGCGGGAUCUCUGGGCCAUAACUGACGCUGAGGAGCGAAAGCGUGGGGAGCGAACAGG
rnacentral:rRNA from 1 species